ACACGGACAGAGUCUCCCCUGUAUUUGCACGGCGUCGCACAAGUACAAGAAGUAAUCCAGGUACAACCACAACCAAAUGAAUAUAGAAACGACUAUGCAAUCAUUCAUUCACCAUUCACAUCACAGUUAUACGUUCAAUAUUUAAACAUAAAUCCACAGAAAAUCCUUUGAAAACUGUUUCCUACACGGAAACCUUUAUUCUUUAAAAACGUUACCACGAGGGGUAGAAAACCUUUUAUUUACGAAAACCAUGAAUCCUUUUUAUUACAUUCAUAAAGCCAAAUGAAAAUAUGAUAGUUAACUGAAAUAUCCAAAAACUGAACCAUAUAAACUAUCUAAGCUAUAUCAACAGGAUAGUAAAGGUAGAAACUAAACCGAAUAACCUGGGUCGAAAGCUCUAUCGACCGCUACGUACGUAUCUCACGUCUCGUCUCAACCCUCACCGCCCGCGAUACCUGAAAAAUAGUGGGGGGGGUGAGAACAUGUAAACAUGUCUCCCCUCCCAGUGGGUACCGCAAGCCGAUGAAGGCAAGGAGUACUCACCGGAUCAGGAAGAGCUAAACAACAGUACGGGUCAGUAGAAAAUACAGUAGCAAUAAUAAUGAAUGAAAGAGACGUAUAUAAAAGAAAGUACAACUACCGCUACUGUAAUGAACAACUGAAUGUAUACAUGUAACAAGACUAUAGUAGCAAGACAAUGUAACGAAAGAACUGAAGAUAUUCAAGCGACAACUGCUACUAUAGUUAUAUGCGUCAACCAGACGAUAAGUCCAAAUAUACCCAAUCUAAAAUCUGCUGCUCUGUUGGUCCGCGCCGGAACCUCAAGCCUGUGCCCUGGAGGUUCACACCGGAGACCUCCGCUCUACCAUGCAUCUAACCCCUCUAGGGCUCACGGGUCGACACCUGCAACCACUUUUCCGAAAAAGAACACCCUCUUGCGGUGGAUCAAACCGCUGGUGUUUGUGAAAUGCGAACGAGUCUCAGGCGGUCAAUGCUGAUAUGCUCAAAGGCCAAACGUCGGCAACCAGCAGACAAUCUUGCCCACAGGGCUCAUCGACCGUAUAGGUCAUCAACUGUAAGGAAGCACAAGAACUGACCACUCAGGUCAACUAGGAUGGGACAACAUCAACAUCCUCUCAAACAUAUGCAAAUACUGCUCAAUGAACCACAAGGACUGACAACUCAGAUCAACUA
rnacentral:lncRNA from 1 species